rnacentral:rRNA from 1 species
AUUGAACGCUGGCGGCAGGCCUAACACAUGCAAGUCGAACGGUAACAGGAAGAAGCUUGCUUCUUUGCUGACGAGUGGCGGACGGGUGAGAAAUGUCUGGGAAACUGUCUGAUGUAGGGGGAUAACUACUGGAAACGGUAACUAAUACCGCAUAACGUCGCAAGACCAGAGAGGGGGACCUUCUGGCCCCUUGCCAUCGUAUGUGCCCAGAUGGGAUUAGCUAGUAGGUGGGGUAACGGCUCACCUAGGCGACGAUCCCUAGCUGGUCUGAGAGGAUGACCAGCCACACUGGAACUGAGACACGGUCCAGACUCCUACGGGAGGCAGCAGUGGGGAAUAUUGCACAAUGGGCGCAAGCCUGAUGCAGCCAUGCCGCGUGUAUGAAGAAGGCCUUCGGGUUGUAAAGUACUUUCAGCGGGGAGGAAGGGAGUAAAGUUAAUACCUUGACUCAUUGACGUUACCCGCAGAAGAAGCACCGGCUAACUCCGUG